UUACGGCCACAUCACAUUGAAACACUGAUUCCUGUACGAUCAGCGAAGUUAAGCAACGUCAAGUCUGGUACUGACCUAGAUGGGUGACCGCUUGGGAAUACCAGGUGCUGUAAG